rnacentral:piRNA from 1 species
UAAGAUAAAUGGUUUGUCGAAGUCUGG